ensembl:snRNA U6 U6 spliceosomal RNA
AUGCUUAUUUGGUAGCAUAUAUACUAAAACAGGAAUGAUACAGAAAAGAUUAUCAUGGCUCCCUGUGCAAGGAUGCCAUACAGAUUCAGAAGUGUUCCAUAUUUUG